CAUUUUAAAUUGCAUGCACUUCAGCCUGACCACAAAUGUAGCAGAACUAUUCUAUCAGGAGUAAAGCAAUGGUCCGGAAAAUGCCACACGGAAGCAGCUGCAACAACAUCAGUGGUGGUGUCCCAGGAGGGAAGGACCAGCUUUUCAGCAGGAGGAUUCUUUAUAAGUAGAGAAGAACAAGACAGAAAAUAUUAGUCUUGAGGAAACACCCAGUGUUCAAAGACAACAGCUGCAUGCACACUGCUGCAACGUAUAGUAGAAGCUGUCAAAUGGUUUAUUCUGAGGAAAAUGAUUGUUCUGUGUAUCCAUUAAAAAUGUAAGAAGAAAGAUUUUCAAAUAUAUUUAUGAGUAACUCAUCA